GCCUACGGGGGGCAGCAGUCGGGAAUAUUGCGCAAUGGAGGAAACUCUGACGCAGUGACGCCGCGUGCAGGAAGAAGGUUUUCGGAUUGUAAACUGCUUUAGACAGGGAAGAUAAUGACAGUACCUGUAGAAUAAGCUCCGGCUAACUACGUGCCAGCAGCCGCGGUAAUACGUAGGGAGCAAGCGUUAUCCGGAUUUAUUGGGUUUAAAGGGUGCGUAGGCGGUCCGGAAAGUCAGCGGUAAAAGCCCGGGGCUCAACCCCGGCGAGCCGUUGAAACUGUCGGACUAGAGACGGCGAGAAGUAC
rnacentral:rRNA from 1 species